UCCUACCAGGGAACCACCAGCGGGGUCCAGAGACAGCCCCAUCUCCUAUAUCAAGCUCUAGCUAGUAGGUAUGUGAAGACCUUGCCUCCGUCUGUCAGCUGGGAGACACAAAGCUUCUCUUUUUUUACCCUCUGAUGCCUCCUGGCUGCUCUAAGCAAGGUGGGGUGGGACUCUGCUAACGUGCCUCCUGGAGCUUCCAUUUACCUGGCACUGCUGUUCCGUGAAUAGUGGGGUUUUGAGUGGGGCAGCAGGUACUGAGUGUUGGACCCUUUCUCUUUCAGGGGCCAGUGACCUUUGAGGAGGUGGCUGUGUAUUUCACCAGGGAAGAGGGGGCUCUGCUGGACCCCACUCAGAAAGCCCUCUGCAGGGAUGUCAUGUAGGAGAACUAUGAGACAGUGACCUUGCUGGUAGGUUUUCCAUUUUCCACAACCUGAUGUGAUCUCCAGCUGGAUGAGGG